CGCCUACAGGGCAGCGCCAGCCGGCGGGCGGCUCUGAAUCUGGACCUGGGCCUGGGCCUGGGCCUGGGCCUCAGCGCGGGCGGAGGCGAAGGCCUGUUUGAGGGAGUGGUCGCCAGGGAAAUUGGCAUCUGGUUGCAAAAAAGUACCCAAGGAGCGCGGGAGAGCUCGGCGUAGAGUGGGCGUCCAGUCACUUGUCCCUGUGAUGAGGUUCCCAGCAGAGCUGGAAUUUGAACUCUCUGCCCACAGAGUGUGGCGUGGCGCUAUCUGCAACCCAAAUAGCUCUACCCUGAAGCCAGGGCCUGGGAGGGCCUGCUGAUCAGAUGCUUCAGAGCAGCAUUUCUCCUACUUUAACAUGCACACAGAUCACUUGGGGAGCAUGUUAAAAAGUAAAUCCUGAUUCCUUGGAUUUGAGGGUGGGCUGGAGACUCUUCAUUUCUAAUAAGCUCUCAAGUGAGGCCAAUACCGCUGGUUCCAGAGGCAAAGCCCUAGAAUCCAGGGUCUAGAACUGUGUAGGACCUAAAUCUAAGAUGUACUGGGGAGGGGAAUGAUGGAACACUAAAUUAUUUAGGAGACAGUUCACAGUCAUGAUUCUACCCACCUAAAAUGCUUUGUGAUGAAAGUUAAAUUUUCGGACAUCAUUUCCGUUGAAUAAACAUGUAGAGUGAGCCUACUGGUUGCCAUAUCUUAGAAUGCAGAAUUGAAUGGCAAUGGAUAUGAACUGAAACACAGUUUAUCCAGUCUUUCCCUUCCCCCAGUAGACGCCAGAUCAGACUUACAUCUAGACAGAUUUUAGUCCCUCAGGUGAACUUGGCAUCUAACGGUUUUC
rnacentral:lncRNA from 1 species